UACGUAGGGGGCAAGCGUUGUCCGGAAUCAUUGGGCGUAAAGCGCGCGCAGGCGGUUCGUUAAGUCCGGUGUGAAAGCUCCCGGCUCAACUGGGAGAGGUCAUUGGAUACUGGCGGACUUGAGGGAUGCAGAGGAAGGUGGAAUUCCCGGUGUAGUGGUGAAAUGCGUAGAGAUCGGGAGGAACACCAGUGGCGAAGGCGACUACCUGGCCUGUUCUUGACGCUGAGGCGCGAAAGCUAGGGGAGCAAACGGG
rnacentral:rRNA from 1 species